GACGAACGCUGGCGGCGUGCCUAAUACAUGCAAGUAGAACGCUGAAGGAGGAGCUUGCUUCUCCGGAUGAGUUGCGAACGGGUGAGUAACGCGUAGGUAACCUGCCUGGUAGCGGGGGAUAACUAUUGGAAACGAUAGCUAAUACCGCAUAACAGUAGAUAUUGCAUGAUAUCUGCUUGAAAGGUGCAAUUGCAUCACUACCAGAUGGACCUGCGUUGUAUUAGCUAGUUGGUGGGGUAACGGCUCACCAAGGCGACGAUACAUAGCCGACCUGAGAGGGUGAUCGGCCACACUGGGACUGAGACACGGCCCAGACUCCUACGGGAGGCAGCAGUAGGGAAUCUUCGGCAAUGGACGGAAGUCUGACCGAGCAACGCCGCGUGAGUGAAGAAGGUUUUCGGAUCGUAAAGCUCUGUUGUAAGAGAAGAACGAGUGUGAGAGUGGAAAGUUCACACUGUGACGGUAUCUUACCAGAAAGGGACGGCUAACUACGUG
rnacentral:rRNA from 1 species